rnacentral:rRNA from 1 species
AGCGAACGCUGGCGGCAGGCCUAACACAUGCAAGUCGAACGAACCCUUCGGGGUUAGUGGCGGACGGGUGAGUAACACGUGGGAACGUACCUUUAGGUUCGGAACAACACAGGGGAAACUUGUGCUAAUGCCGAAUGUGCCCUUCGGGGGAAAGAUUUAUCGCCUUUAGAGCGGCCCGCGUCUGAUUAGCUUGUUGGUGAGGUAAAGGCUCACCAAGGCUUCGAUCAGUAGCUGGUCUGAGAGGAUGAUCAGCCACACUGGGACUGAGACACGGCCCAGACUCCUACGGGAGGCAGCAGUGGGGAAUCUUGCGCAAUGGGCGAAAGCCUGACGCAGCCAUGCCGCGUGAAUGAUGAAGGUCUUAGGAUUGUAAAAUUCUUUCACCGGGGAAGAUAAUGACGGUACCCGGAGAAGAAGCCCCGGCUAACUUCGUGCCAGCAGCCG